UAGAAGGUAGUGUAAGGGAAGCACUAGGAGUUUUGAUCUCCUCAGGAUGGGUUCAAACCCCAUUUUUCUAA
rnacentral:tRNA from 1 species